AAUGCGGGCCGCGGGGUCCCGGGGCAGUGGGGCCCCCCUUCCCCCACCCUGGUCGCCCCCGAAGCUCCUAGAGGUGCCUGCGCUGCAGCAGCUCCGCCAGGGCUACACGGGGCGGACUCUUGGCGCUCCAAAGCUGCGGGGAGCGCCGGGACGAACUCUGGGUCCGGCACCCACCUGGGACAGCCACACGCUGGGAACAGGGCAGCCGCACCUCCCACCGUCCCAAGCCACGGACUUGUUUCCGCCCCUGAUCAAUUAAUUUUGGCCACACACAGACCAACCCCCUCCCCGAGCCCCAGUCGUCGGUCUGGCAGGAUGCGGGGGACGGGACACUCCUCCCCCAGCUCUGAAGGCCGCGAGCAAGGUGUGCCCGGAGUUAAAAAGCAAACCCCAACAGGUGCUGCGGGGGCGGGGGGGGGGGGGGGCGGCGGCUCACAACGCCUCCGGUUUCCCUAGGGAGAAGGUGCACUCCUAGGGGUGAAAGCAUCGAACUCCUUGAACUUCGUCCCUCAAAAAGCAUCGCCUGGUGCCCUGAGCAAUAUGAAACCCCCAAAUUCGCUAGGAAUUCCCUGGCCUCUUGACUCAGGCCCCUGGCCCGUCUUUAGCCAAGUGAGGCGGAGUGGGCACCCAGACUGAGCACGUAACCACCUCCAACCGAAGCAAAGAAAUCGGUUGGGGGGCGGGGGUAAUGACCUAGGAGGCCAAGUCCCAUCCGCUUCUCCCUCCGCCAAGCUGGGCUGCGGCCUACCCGGGGCGGAGCACCCCUGCGGAGACUCGCGCGGGGGGGGGCAGGGGGAGGGGCUCGGUACCCAGCCGGCCUGCUCGCUGGAGCGGGACCUUCCCGGAGGAGGACCCGUGCUAAGACCUGUGGGCUCCCGCAGUGUUCUCCGCCCCCCUCCCGGGACCCUGCACAAUGGCAGUGGGGAAACAGGACUCCGGUGAAUGACCACAGCUCCAUCUCCUCCUGUUCAACUCUGCAGAACGACUUCAAGAAGAAGUGGAAAAAGCCUGCUUAGCUACCUGGCCAAUGAGAGAGGACUUAGCCUCAAAGGAUUCUUCGUAAAUACAGCUGAAUUGGGGUGUGGCCAGGAAUCCUGACGGGUUCCGGCUCCUGGCUGAUAACUUCACGGGGCAGGUGUGGAGAGAGAACCAUCUGAUAAGGGAUCCACCAUAAACAGCUUUUAAAAUGAAGCAAAUCCACCGUGCCUAUUACAGACCCCUCCCUUUGGAAGCUACAUCUUUUGCCUCAGACUUCAGUCCCAGCCCAUGUGCCCUAGCAGGAAGGAACACAGUGAUGAGCCAGAAGGACAGAGGAGCAUGGCUCUGUCCUCUGCUGUGACAGACAAUCUUUUAUGCUUCAGGCAUUGACCCUGUGUCAGGCAUUGUCUGUGGCCCUGGGGAGACACAGGUAUGAAGGGUAACGAGAAUACAAUCACAGUGAGGACAAAAGUCAGCGUUCCUUUCCUGGUACUGGCUCUGCAGAAAAGCACGUUACAGACACUCUGAAGGAGGAGGCAGGUGCUAUGGGCACCCCAACUUGUAGAUGAGUAAAGCAGGCACGGAGAGGUCGAGCCCACACCCAUAUUCCACGCCAGACCACCUCCCAAGACAACCAGUCCGUGGGCACGUCCUCCCAAGUCUGAGCGCAGUGAUGCUGUGGAGAAUAGAAAUCAGCGGCUGCCAAGAUGGGGGACAGACUGUGAGACAAUGGGAAGCAGACUCAAUCAGAGAAGACUGUGGGUCCCGAAGGAUGAGCUGGAUUUUGGCAGGAAGAGGAGGAAGGGGGUAGAAAGAGGGUGGACUUCCAGGGUAUGGACCAGCCUGUGGGAAAGAGCAGAGCCAUCGAGAGGACAAACGACAUCCAGGGCCAGUGAGGAGGGUCAGUGAAGCUGACCUCAGGGGAGAGUGUACAGAGGCUGGGGGCCGCUCUGUGAAGAGUUUUGUAGGGCUAGCCUAUAUGGAGUUUGGCUUCAGUGUCUCAGCGUGGGAAACACUACAGUCAAUUGAGCAGAAAAAGGCUUGAUUAGAUUCAUGAUUUCGAAAGCCCAUGAUGACCACAGCCAGGAGGGAAAAGCCAGGGGGUACUCAGUGUUCCGCACAUAGCUCACCACCUAGGACCCCAUUUGGAAAAGUCUGAGACAGGUGGAGAUAUUGGUGCAAGGUGACAACCUGACUAGCCCAAGGGGGUACACGUUUGCUGAAUGAAGAAGGCUUAGAGCAGAAUUGUCACACUAUUUACAGAUGUGUGGCCCCCAUAGGCUCCCGCGAAUGGUGAUAACAAAGGUUGGCUGUGUAGCCCAGCUUCUGUCAAUGAGGAACGCUACCGUGGGUCUCAUCUGCCUUAUAACUUUGGACGUUUGCCUAUGAACAUGAUUUUUAAGGCUAAAACCUGCUGUCAUGAUUAUCAGAGUACUUGCUAAUACAUCACCCUGAUUGCUGCAAGGGAAGGUUUAUCACUGUUAAACUGAGCAGAUGUUGUUCUAUGUGUCUAGGCAAAAAGCAUCUGCCAUAAGCUUUGGCUCAUGGCUCCCUUUUGCCUCAUUCGCCACCUUCAUUUUACGUCUGUAGGUUUAUGUUAAAAUUACAAGGUGCUUAAUGUGUGACUCAGAAGAACCAAACUUUACAUGGGUUGUGAUAGCAUGAGUUGGCGGGGGGUGAGUUAGCUAAAUGGUACAAGGUAACAUCUAGAGCUAAUUCUCUUCCCACUUCUAGUAAAAUGCCCCCAGGGACACUGAAAACACCAAAAUUUAUGACACCACAGAAACAGCGAGAGGUGGCCUAACAUCAAAACUGGGAAAGAACAGACGGAACUCACCCCAGCAGAGCAGAGAGUAGGAUUCUAGGUAAAGCUCUGCCCAAGGAAACUGGGGAUCAGAUUGGAAUCAAGCACUUAACUUGCUUUCCUGUUGGGAUCUUGGAAAGGAAACCCAACCAGCGUGACUGAUUUGCCAAAUUGUUUAAAAACAUGGCACUGAACAAAUCUUGCUUUGUUCAGGGAUUUAAAAAGCAAGCAAACAAACAAGCAAAAAAGAAUAAACUCACCGAUGUGGGACAAGACAGGAGAAGUAGAGUAGUAUCCAGAAGAUGAAGCCUUCUGAAAAUGAUCUACUACAGAAUCCAGAGGGGAGAAAAGUCAGGAAACUGAUCGGCAUUGACAAAGCAGCAGGAGAUAAUGGCCAACUAUCAGAUUGAACACUGUAAUAAAUUUCCACGUUUGUAAGUCCCAAACUGAAGACUAUAGGCAAUUUCAUAGGAUUCAACUUAGUAUAGAUUCUACACACCAAGACGAAGACACAAUGAAUGAUAAGAAGCACAUGCACACAAUAAUAGAACAAGGAGACAAACAGGACUGAAUAUCUUACCUAUAAUAAUAAAUGUAAAUGAAAUAGAUUCUUUUAUUAGGAAGACUCUAAAAUUGAACAAAGAAUUCAAAUAUCAAAUAUGUGCCAUUUCUUUCCAAAAGGUAAAAAAUAAUAACUGAAUAGGUGAGUAUAUCCAAAGAAGAUGCAAACAAAAAUAAAGUAGGAGUCACGAUAAUAAUAUUGCCUCAAGUAAAAUUCAACAGCAAAGCACAGCAGAACAAAGAAAGCACUUUUAUUUUGAUAAAUAGUACAAAUUGCAAUAAAGACAUACUGACUUGAGCCUUUUGGUGAUAGGUAAUUAUGCCCUAAAAAAUAUAAUACAGGGCGCCUGGGUGGCUCAGUUGGUUAAGCGACUGCCUUCGGCUCAGGUCAUGAUCCUGAAGUCCCGGGAUUGAGUCCCGCAUCGGGCUCCCUGCUCAGCAGGGGGUCUGCUUCUCCCUCUGCCCUCUUCCCUCUCGUGCUCUCUGUCUCUCAUUCUCUCUCUCUCAAACAAAUAAAUAAAAUCUUAAAAAAAAAAUGUAAUGCAAAAUUGCUGGAAAUGUAAAGGCAGAAACCCACCAAGGCCCAACAUCUCUUUCCCAUAUUUGGAACACCCAAAGCUCUGAAAGGCAAAACUUCAUCAGCCUGAUGCCCAUCAGGCAGCCAAACGGGAUCUGAAUUGAUGGGAGGGCAUUGUAGCGCUGUCACUUAGUGCUAAUAUUUGUGCAUUUCACUGAAAAAGAGCAAUUUUCUGUGUAAGUUUUAUGUAAAAUACCAAAUGUUACCCUUCAUAAAACUAAAACAUUCUGAAUUCUGAAUCAUUGUCUACUAGUGGAUACGGUUUGUGGGCCCGUAGUAAGGAAAUCUAUGGAAUAGGCAAAAAAUAGAGCAUACAAUAUGAUUAUAAUUAAUAAACAUUUUUUAGAUAUGUGUGAGUGUACAGACCAGCCACAAGCAAAUUCCAUAUCCUACACAUAGAGAAGGAACAUUUCCCAGCUCUUAGGUCAUAUUUACGUAAGUCAUAUGCCAUGAUUACAAAGCAGUACAACCAGAAAUUUAUAAUCCAAGCACGUGGUCUUAAAAAACACACUUCUAAUUUUACUCGCAAAAAGAAUUAAAAAAUAAAAAUGAGGGGGCGCCUGGGUGGCUCAGUCGUUAAGCGUCUGCCUUCGGCUCAGGUCACGAUCCCAGGGUCCUGGGAUCGAGCCCUGCAUCGGGCUCCCUGCUCGGCAGGAGGCCUGCUUCUCCCUCUCCCAUUCCCCCUGCUUGUGCUCCCUCUCUCGCUGUGUCUCUCUCUGUCAAAUAAAUAAAUAAAAUCUUUAAAAAAAAUAAAUAAAAAUGAGAACACUCUUCUAAAUUAGGGCAAAGCAGAAGUAAAAACUGAAAUUACAGACAUAUUGACAUUUGUGGGAUGAGGUCAAGGUUGCUUUCCGAGACAGAUUAAAUGCUUUCAUUAUGAAGGUAUACAGAGAGGAAACAACUGAGGAUGGGCAUGGGGGCUGGCCACAGGGCCUGCGGUCCUUCACACAGUUCUCGCGAAGGCUGUGUAGGACUCAUUACUGAGAAGUUGCUUGUGUUCUCUGGGUGCUCGUGAGAUGCCGGCUGCUGCCUAAAAAAAUGGGAAUGACCCAGUGAUUGAAUGAAGACAAGGUUGACAACCUGAAAAGUCAAUCACCCAGAGGAGAAACUGAAAAAUUAUUAAAGAAAUAUCCUCCAGGAGUUCCAUCAAACCCUCCAGUAACCCCACAUCUCUAUGCAAUUUAGACUACUCUUCCCAGUAAAAAUAAAGAUGGACAGUCUUCCUAUUUGCACAAAGCAAAGCUACAGAUAUACCUAAGUUAUAAAUAUAGAUUUAUAAAGAUUUCAAAUAAAAUAAUGGCAAAUCAAUUUCAAUCAUAUUUUUAAAAGCAUAUAGCAUAACCUGUUAGGUUUAUUCAGAGAAGGGUGGGGCUCAACAUUAGAAAAUCUGCUAACAUAAUUCUCCACAUUACUAGGUCAAAAGGAGGAAAAGUCUAUGAUCAUCUGGAUAAUUAAGUCUGGGACAGGCUAGAAUGCUCCAUUAUUGCUAUUACUCAUCAAUAUUGUUCCAAAAGUCCCCACAGAGGUAUAGUUUCAGUAUGGAGAAGACAACACACAUGUAUGAUGGUCUGUCUACAAAUCCUGAAGUAGUCACAAAGAAAUGAGUGUAGGAGAAUUCAGAAGGUGGCUAGUUAGAAACUAAUUCUACAAAAAUCAAUAGCUUUCUUAUAGACCAGUGAUGCUCAGGAGGAACCAUCAUAACAAGUGCAGACCUUACUCACGACAGCAACCCAGUUUUUAAAAUCUCUAGUAAUAAACAAGGAAUGUGCAGAAAGGACACUUAUAUAAAUAAGAAGAGAACUAUAAAACUUUACUGAGGGACAUAGAAGGUUGGAGUAACAGACCACUUUUCUAUUAAUGGACAGACUAUCUAUGACUUUACAGAAGUCAAGUGUCUGCCCGAAGAAUCUAUGUGUUUAACACAAGCCAAAUAAAAUCCCAGUAGGAUUUUAGGAUGAGGCUGACAAAGAGAAUCUAAAAGUUAUCCAGAAACAUAAAUGUUCGAGAAAAGUGAAGGAAGCAUUAAUGAAGGCUAUUGCAAUGCAGGUGUAGAGAUAGCGUGUGGUACGAUAAUGGGAACAGACGUACAAAUUAAUGGGAUGAAAGAGAAAAUUCAGCAACGGACCCCCAAUAAGUAGAAUAUAGUUUGUGUUUCAAAUCAAUGGGGAGUAUAUGGGAAAAAUAUAAACGUAGAUCCAUACUCAUCCCCUACUCAAAAAUAAGUUCCAGAUGACUAAAAAUAAUUAAAUGAGAAAACAAAGAAACAAAAACCCAAACCAUGAAAGCUAUACAGGAAAGUGGAGGUGCAUAUGUUAAGGAAUCUUGGGGGGAGACAUUUCCUAACUGACGGUACAACGGUCCUUGCAUCUGUCUGGCCCUCAGCAGAGAGACGUGUAGCUACUCUUCCUGUCAUCUUAGUCUGACGCUUCGCCGUGCCCCAGCCCAGAUCCGCGCUCCUGAUCUAGUCUGUAGUUAUCUUUCAUCUCAUUGUGGUGGGCAGUUUAAGGGACUAGGUUUGUGUAACAUGGAAUGGUGAUUGCUGCCUCCCCUGCAGACUGGGAGCCUCACAAAGGCGGGGCACCCAAAGGCGGCAUGCAGCAGAUGCUCGACAAAAACUUAGUUAAAUUAUUAAGUUAAAAAAAACUAACAUGUAAGCUUAAUCACAAUUGAUUACAACUAAUCACAAUUCAUGAUACAGACAUUCAAUUAAUAAAGUAGUAUAUACAACAUGAUCCCCUCUCCCCCCCUUUUUAGCAUGGAGCCUAAUGUGGGGCUUGAACUCACCACCCUGAGAUCAAGACCUGAGUUGAGAUCAAGCAUCAGAAGCUCAACGGACUGAGCUACCCAGACACCCCCAACAUGAUCCCUUUUUAAAACAUUAAAAACAUGUCUGUGCAUGCUCAGAAAUAAGCCUGCAAUCACAGGCAAGAGUUGAUGAUGCUGGUGUAGUCUUCGCUCUAGUCUCUAACUGUUCUAGAGUCAACUUACAUUGGUCUUGUAAGAAGAAAGUUGUCCUUUUUUUUUUUUUUUUUUUUUUUUUAGUUAGCUAAAAAUAUAAGCCACUAUGCAAUGGAGCCACUGGAAAACAUAUGUCCACGGCAAUACGUGCCCUAGACCCACUGUGGCCCCUUCCCGAUUUCCGUCUAUCCUUACUUGUCACCAAGCAUGGCUUAAGCCAGUUGAGGUCUUGUCCUCACACUGCCAAUGGCACCUUUCCAGCUCACUGUGAACCAUGGCCGUUGGCCAGAUGCCACCCGGACUAGCACGGAUUCACGACCUGCAGUCAGCAGAGCGUCAACAGCCCGGCUGUCAGGCUGACCCCAGGGACAGGGAGCUAGUCCUGCCACAGUGAGUGCCGGGUCCUAUUCCUGGUGGGGAAGGUUCCCCCUCCCAUCUCCCCAGCAGGUAACGCGACUGUUAGUCCUCUGCUUUGCAACCCCUGCAACACCAAUUACGGCAACCAACUUGGUCCCCCGUGGAUGGACGACGGAGCUACUGUUCAUGCUCUUCUUCCAGGAAGACCCACGUUGCUUUCCAGAGUCUAAACGAACUUCAGUACAGUGAAUUCUACAAUCCUGCUUGCAACGACCACCAACUUUUACAACCUGCCAUUUUUAGGACUGCUUAUCUUAAAUUCUCUACUUAUACCCCCCAAACGUCGAAAAAUAAUGAAAACGAAAGACAUUUUGUAACAAAGCUUAGUGUUAUUUCAUCGUAGGUGCCUAUCUGAAACACGGCUUUCCAAUAUGGGUAAGCCGCCUUGAUUUAGGUAUGCCUAAUGCCUGUUUUUAAUGGGAAGGAAAACAAAUGAAGGGAGUGUCGUGUAAUUAAGUGAAGCAGUGAAAUAUUCCGAGGGGACAUUCGACUAUAUCCCUGUAUCUCUUGUCUCCCCCAGAUUCACAUUCAAGCCACGUGUCUAGGUGUCCUGGGACACAAACCAACAGAAAUGUACUUACACUUCUGGAGAGGAGAAGUCUGAAAUCAAGGUGUGGGCAGGGCUAUGUUCUUCCUGCAGGCUCUGGGUGAGGGUCCUUCCUGCCUCCCCCGGCUUCUGGAGAGCCUGCUGAGUGGCGAGCCCGAUGCAGGGCUCGAUUCCAGGACCCUGGAAUCAUGACCUGAGCCAAGGGCAGACGCUCAACUAACUGAGCCACCCAGGCGUCCCACAUAUAUUUAAAAUUACAUGUGACAUAAAAUGUCUUGAUGCAGAAAUACAUUGCUCUUUGUUAGUCUCACAUCUUAUGACUUAUUUUGUUGCAACUCGUCCCGUGUUUUCCAGAGCGUGUCCCCCUCCCCUGUCUGGGUGGACAGCUCCCGUGGGCCACUCAAGGGGCCAUUCACGCCAACGCAGGAUGGACACUUUCUCACUCCUCUUGUGGGGCUAGAGCAUGAGGUCAGUCCCAGGGGGAGUUCUGAAUACGUGCUAAACGCCCUUGCCUUCUCUGGAUGGCGGCCACCACAGGUGUGGAGAGUCCCUGGAGACUGGGGUUGUGUUUGCUCGCGUGCCUCUCCAGAUAGGAAAGAAGUAGUCUGACUGCAUGUCUUAAAAAGUCCAGAAUAAUGUCUUAUGCAGCACAGAAGUUUCUCUUCCUCCUAAAAGAAGCCUGGAGGUAAGCAGGCCGUGGCUGCUACGGGGCUUCACCAGAAACCCCGUUCCUUCUUUAGUCCAUCUGCUCUACCAGCCUAGCACACAGUUUCCAGCCUCAGAGACACCUCGGGGUCCAGACUGGCUGCGGGAGCUCAGCCAUCCCAUGCGAGUUCCAGGCAACAGAGAGAGGAAGGGCGGAGGGCGGGAAGAGCACACCUCCCAGCUGAGCCAGCUCCCUUUCAGGAGUGUCCCCGGAAUCCCGUGCUGCCCUUCUGAGUGAUUCUUCCCAAAGCAUUAGCAAAUGAUAGAACCUGGGUCGGCAACUGAGAUCUUCACUCCAGUAUUUCUUCAGACUCUGCUGCUUGGCUAAGUUAGUAAUGACAAUGAUUGAACCUCACCGAAGAAGAUACACGGAUGGCAAGUAAACGUGUGAAAAGGUGCUCCACAUCACACGUUAUCAGGGAAUUGCAAACUAAAACAACGAGACACCACUGCAUACCUAUUAAAAUGGCCCAAACCCAAACACGGCCAACACAUGAGGAUACACCGUCUUGGGAACUCUCACUCACGUGGGCGGGAAGGCAACGAGGGGCAGCCACCUUGGAAGACGGUUUGGCAGUUUCUUACAAAACUAAACAUACUUUGACCAGACCACCUAGCAACUGUGCGCUUUGAUAUUUCCCCAAAGGAGUCGAAAAUGUAUGUUGACACCAACCUGCACACAGAUGUUCAUAGCAGCUUUCUUCGUAACUGCCCCAACUUGGGAGCAACCAAGAUGUCCCUCAGCAGGUGGAUGGAUAAACGAGCUGUGGUCCAUCCAGACAGUGGGCUAGAGCUCAGCGCUAAAAAGAAAGGAGCUCUCGAGCUACGAAAAGACGUGGGGGAAGCUUAAAUGUGUUUUACUAAGUGAGAGAAGCCAAUCUGAAGGGCUACGUAUUGAGUGAUUCCAACCGUGUAGGACAUUCUGGAAAAGGCAAAACUACGGAGACAGUAGGAAGAUGAGGGACUGCCAGAGGUUAGGGGCAAGGAGGGUUGAACGGGCAGAGCCAGAGGAUUUUGGGGGGCGGUGAAAAUACUCUGCGGUGCUGGACGCUUGGCAUUAUACACCCGUCCUAUCUCAGAAUGUGCGACAGCAAGGUGGACCCGAAGGUAAACUGUGGCCUCUGGGUGAAGAUGUCAAGUCGAUGUAGGGUCCCGAGUUGUCACGACCAUAGCACACUGAUGCAGGAUGUCAGGAACAGGGGACCUGGGGAGGGGGAGGGGGCGAGAGGCCCACCGUGGGAGAGACUCUGCAAGGACUCGACGGGGUGAGCCGGCCUUACCGUGGGCGGCCGAGGGGCUGCGGAGGCUCCGAGCACAGAUCUAAAGGAGGCUGCCAGCCCUGAGGGGGAGGCGGUUGCCAGGCUGGGUGGGCACCCCACUCUGAUGGAAAACGAGGUGCGAUCAUAGAGUCAUGGGGGUUUCUAGCGGGGCUGACCAAUCCUAAGAGAGGUGCUCAGACUGUUCCGAGCCAAGUCUGGCAUUGAGGGGCCUUGAAGGGACCUCUCUGCAGAGACGUUUUAGCGAACUUAACCCAGGGCCGUGUCUUUCCUGCGGCUCUGAGCCUUAUUCCCAGUGACCCCUGUCUUCUGAGACUCUGCAACUGUCCCAGCCAGCGGGAGGAGUGGGCCGGGCGCUGCUCUGUGGGCAGAGACUGGAUCUGGGCCGCUCUGGGCUCAGCGGCAACACCAGCCAGCCCACCCGGUGGGCAGCCCAGGCCUGGCAGGGGACAGAGUCGGGCCACUGCCACCAGCCCCCGCACUGCCCCAAGGCCCCAGUCCGAGGCCUGCUCAGCCUUGCAUCUGAAUCUUGCCCUGCAUCCUCCUGCCUGGAGCGUGGGGCCACGCACACCGCCCAUUCCGGCCUGCAGAGGGGAAGCAAAUCCAGGACCCCCCACCCCCCCACCCCUGGGGCUCCGAGCGGGCCUGCAGCCAGCUCAUCACCGGCUAGAGGGCAUGUAUAGCUGGAGGGGGCCCUGGAGCCCUUCUGCCCAGGCCUUCCUUUGCUGACGAGGUCCCUGCCGGGUGACUCGCCCAGGGUGAUGCAUCCAGAAGAGGUAGCCGGCUCAGCCGUCCUCACGGUUGGUCACUGUCCCCCCAGAGCCUCCCACACUGGCCUGGGGCCACCCGCUGGGGUGAAACUAUGCUGCCAUGUACAAAGGCAGGUGACCUCUUCCGCCUCCUGGGUGCCUGAAGCCCAGGACUGAGAGCCUAACCCCCCGUGAGUCAGUAUCUCCUGCCCGCUAACGCCUAGGGCGCCCUCAUAAAUUCCUUCCUUCUCCCUCUGGCCUGAGAACCCUCGGGGCGGUGCUGGAGUCCAUCCCACAUACCGCAGAGAACUUCCAGCAGUGAGGGGGAUGAGCAUGGAGCAGAAGCCGGCUGGAGAAGGAGAGAGACGGAGAGAGACAGGGAGACACACAGAGACAAAGAGGCAGAGAGACAGAGAGAGCGAAAGAAGCGCGAAGUCUUAGGACUUUGGGAGAGAAAGUGCCGAACCCUGGCCCCCACCAGGCAGUGGGUUUGGAGGUGGUACCUCCACUGUCCAUGUAACCAGCCCCCCCAGGGGAUACAGACACACGCAAGCUCUGUCCCUGAUCUCACCCAGCUUUCCCUCUGGCUGAGGUCACGUAAAGAUAACGCAGAGCAAUGAACAGACAAUGGCCACCCCACCCCGUGGCGAUGCCCCCAACAGCCAAGGCCCCAGCGGAGAAGGAAGACCCCGAGCUGGUGGAGGAGGCAAUGAGCUCGUGCCCGCCGUCUGGAGCCGAGGUCAGCGGGAGUUUUCCUAGCUCUAGUCUUCGAAUUUGCAAGAUAUGUUGCCUCUAAGUCCAUGGGCCUUGUUUCCAGCGCCCAUGUUCUCCCCAGGGUGCCCUGAGAACCUCUCACCAAUCACACCCCCCAGGGCCAUGGGGGGCCCCAUGCCACGAACUCAGCCAGCCAGCAGGCCGCACCCGGACAGGUGACACUGCAUUCCGAAGCCUUCCUCCAAGUGCAAAGGUCAGCACAGUCAGGACCCAGAACUUGGCAGUCUGGCCCUCCGGACAGAGAGCUGGCUCGUGGCGGAACGAAGACAGAGCAUUCAGAGGAGAGCAGACACGAUUCGAGCCGUUGUUUGAUGUCAGAGCCAUCUGGUGGGGCAGCUCCCCGGCCUAAAGCAGAAGAAAACACGGGGUUUGUUACAAAGAUCCCUUCAGGUUGGAGACUCCAGGGAAUGAAUUGAACACCUGGCCCCUUUCUGCCUCCCUCAGAAUUAAUCAGUCUUUGUACGCAAGAGGGUAGAGCCCAUAGGGCCACAUAAGGGCCCCGCCUUGGGACAGGAAGACGCGAAGAGUAAGAAAACAGAGUACCAAGCUGAGGUUCCCCUCACAUCCUGUGUCACCCAUGAAAGCCGCAGGAGUGGUAAUGGGCAAGUCCAUGAGAAUAAUUAGGCUGAAGAGCAGACUGCAUAAUUGACGUACCCACGUCAGCUCCUGGGUUUUUACUGGCCUUGAGCUAAAGCUCAAACCCCAAAGCCUCACCCCGUCCCCACCUCCAGCACAUUCUGGGUCUCUAAAUAAGCGAGACCUCCUUGCUUCCUUGCUUCUGUUUUCUCUCUUGAAUUCCAUUGCUCCUCUUCAUGACUGGACUGAGUUCUACUUUCCAAGAAGCCCUUGAACUGUUACCUCCUCCGGAAAGCCCUCCCAGAUCCACCUCAGGUGUGGUCCAGUCCACCCUCAGUGAGAACGUGGCUAAUGCCACCCUGCCUAGGAAGUUAUGUUCCCCUCCCAGGGGGCAGCCCACACCAAUGGCCGACUGAUAGGGGGUCCAAAAGCCUGCCCCAGUCUCAGAGACAGCUCAACAGUGUGGUUUGUGCCAGAUGUCCCUGCCCCACGUCCUCCCUCCCCUUUCCUCUCUCACAGGCUUCUUCCUCAAUAAACCUCCUUCACCAGAACCCUUGCCUCAAGCUCUGCAUCCAGAGAACUGGCCUUGCGUGGACAGGAGAGCCCACUGCCAGCCUCCUAUGUGGACGCGCCCUUAGGAUAUGGAGUCUGCGCCAUUACAAAAGAGCAAUUUCACAAACUGGAAACAGCGAACAUGUCCAUCAGCUGGUGACUGGGUUGGACAAUGUGCUGCACGUCUGUCCGUAAAAGGGAGGAAGCUGAGAGUCUGUGGGACAAUACGAGUGAACCUCGGAAACACCACCGAGUGAGAGAAGCCCCUCCCAAGAGACCACGCACUAUUCAAUUCCUUCAUAUAAAACGUCCAGAAAGGUGAACAACAGAGACAGAACGUGGAUUGACUGAGGCUUGGGAGGUGGCAGGGGUCUCAUUCGAGGGGAACGAGCUGUGAGUGGGCAUGAGAUGUUCGUGGGAUGAUGAAAAUGGCACAACUUGGUAAAUUUACUGAAACAUCAUCAAAUUGUAUCCUUGAAAUGGGUGAAGUAUGUAAUAUGAAAUUUACCCCAGUAAUAAAGUUCUUUACAACCUCCCCGAUGGAUGCAGGACGUCCUGGAUGUGAGUCUGUGGACAAGACCACCAACAUUCCCAUUUUUUUAUUUUCCUCAGUGAGAAUCAGGUAAAAUCUUUAGCGUCAAAUAAUCUGGUUUGCAAAAGCAUUAUGAGGUUUUGGGGAUUAAUCAGGCAAAAUAAAAGGUGCUUAUUAUGUGGUGCUUCUUUGGCUAAGACCCGUGGCCAAAGCUCUGGACACAACCAAGAAGUUGUUCCUAUCACCCGUGAGCACAGAUCCUUGUGGGAACAUGGUUUUUUAAAAAAGAUGAUCGCAGUGAGAGAUCCCAGACUGUAUUUCUCUGGAGCAGAUUUCCUCAGACCACCUGCAUCAAAAUCAUAUGGAAAACUUGGUAGAAAUGCAGAUUCCCGGCCCCCGGCCCAGACACUGUAGAUUAGAACCUCUAGGGUGUCCCCUGGAAUCUGCAUUUUCACAGGUGCCUGGGGAUCCUCGGU